CAUACCCCGAAAAUGUAGGUUAAACCCCUACCGUCACUA
rnacentral:tRNA from 7 species